AGAGUUUGAUCAUGGCUCAGAUUGAACGCUGGCGGCAGGCCUAACACAUGCAAGUCGAACGGUAACAGGAAACAGCUUGCUGUUUCGCUGACGAGUGGCGGACGGGUGAGUAAUGUCUGGGAAACUGCCUGAUGGAGGGGGAUAACUACUGGAAACGGUAGCUAAUACCGCAUAACGUCGCAAGACCAAAGAGGGGGACCUUAGGGCCUCUUGCCAUCGGAUGUGCCCAGAUGGGAUUAGCUAGUAGGUGGGGUAACGGCUCACCUAGGCGACGAUCCCUAGCUGGUCUGAGAGGAUGACCAGCCACACUGGAACUGAGACACGGUCCAGACUCCUACGGGAGGCAGCAGUGGGGAAUAUUGCACAAUGGGCGCAAGCCUGAUGCAGCCAUGCCGCGUGUAUGAAGAAGGCCUUCGGGUUGUAAAGUACUUUCAGCGGGGAGGAAGGGAGUAAAGUUAAUACCUUUGCUCAUUGACGUUACCCGCAGAAGAAGCACCGGCUAACUCCGUGCCAGCAGCCGCGGUAAUACGGAGGGUGCAAGCGUUAAUCGGAAUUACUGGGCGUAAAGCGCACGCAGGCGGUUUGUUAAGUCAGAUGUGAAAUCCCCGGGCUCAACCUGGGAACUGCAUCUGAUACUGGCAAGCUUGAGUCUCGUAGAGGGGGGUAGAAUUCCAGGUGUAGCGGUGAAAUGCGUAGAGAUCUGGAGGAAUACCGGUGGCGAAGGCGGCCCCCUGGACGAAGACUGACGCUCAGGUGCGAAAGCGUGGGGAGCAAACAGGAUUAGAUACCCUGGUAGUCCACGCCGUAAACGAUGUCGACUUGGAGGUUGUGCCCUUGAGGCGUGGCUUCCGGAGCUAACGCGUUAAGUCGACCGCCUGGGGAGUACGGCCGCAAGGUUAAAACUCAAAUGAAUUGACGGGGGCCCGCACAAGCGGUGGAGCAUGUGGUUUAAUUCGAUGCAACGCGAAGAACCUUACCUGGUCUUGACAUCCACGGAAGUUUUCAGAGAUGAGAAUGUGCCUUCGGGAACCGUGAGACAGGUGCUGCAUGGCUGUCGUCAGCUCGUGUUGUGAAAUGUUGGGUUAAGUCCCGCAACGAGCGCAACCCUUAUCCUUUGUUGCCAGCGGUCCGGCCGGGAACUCAAAGGAGACUGCCAGUGAUAAACUGGAGGAAGGUGGGGAUGACGUCAAGUCAUCAUGGCCCUUACGACCAGGGCUACACACGUGCUACAAUGGCGCAUACAAAGAGAAGCGACCUCGCGAGAGCAAGCGGACCUCAUAAAGUGCGUCGUAGUCCGGAUUGGAGUCUGCAACUCGACUCCAUGAAGUCGGAAUCGCUAGUAAUCGUGGAUCAGAAUGCCACGGUGAAUACGUUCCCGGGCCUUGUACACACCGCCCGUCACACCAUGGGAGUGGGUUGCAAAAGAAGUAGGUAGCUUAACCUUCGGGAGGGCGCUUACCACUUUGUGAUUCAUGACUGGGGUGAAGUCGUAACAAGGUAACCGUAGGGGAACCUGCGGUUGGAUCACCU
rnacentral:rRNA from 2 species